ACCGGAAAAAGAGGAGUGGCGAACGGGUGAGUAACACGUGGGUAACCUGCCCAUCAGAAGGGGAUAACACUUGGAAACAGGUGCUAAUACCGUAUAACAAUCGAAACCGCAUGGUUUUGAUUUGAAAGGCGCUUUCGGGUGUCGCUGAUGGAUGGACCCGCGGUGCAUUAGCUAGUUGGUGAGGUAACGGCUCACCAAGGCGACGAUGCAUAGCCGACCUGAGAGGGUGAUCGGCCACAUUGGGACUGAGACACGGCCCAAACUCCUACGGGAGGCAGCAGUAGGGAAUCUUCGGCAAUGGACGAAAGUCUGACCGAGCAACGCCGCGUGAGUGAAGAAGGUUUUCGGAUCGUAAAACUCUGUUGUUAGAGAAGAACAAGGAUGAGAGUAACUGUUCAUCCCUUGACGGUAUCUAACCAGAAAGCCACGGCUAACUACGUGCCAGCAGCCGCGGUAAUACGUAGGUGGCAAGCGUUGUCCGGAUUUAUUGGGCGUAAAGCGAGCGCAGGCGGUUUCUUAAGUCUGAUGUGAAAGCCCCCGGCUCAACCGGGGAGGGUCAUUGGAAACUGGGAGACUUGAGUGCAGAAGAGGAGAGUGGAAUUCCAUGUGUAGCGGUGAAAUGCGUAGAUAUAUGGAGGAACACCAGUGGCGAAGGCGGCUCUCUGGUCUGUAACUGACGCUGAGGCUCGAAAGCGUGGGGAG
rnacentral:rRNA from 1 species